CUUAGUUUUCUGAAUGUUGAGGGUUUUCCUUUUAAAAAAUUUAUUUAUUUUAAUUGGAGUAUAAUUACUUUAUAAUACCGUGGUGGUUUUUGCCACACAUCGACAUGAAUCAGCCACGGGUGCACAUGUGUCUCAGCUAUCCUGAACCCCUUCCCACCUUUCUC